AAAGGGAGACCUAAUUCAGGUAAGAGACGAAAAAAAAGUAGUCGCUACCAAGAAUCAAUCCCAAAAGGUCGGAGCGAGGCGAAAUUGGCUUUCAAACUAGGUUCUGGGUUCACACAAGACCUGAAUCAGGAACAAGGGCUAUUAGCUCAGGUGGUUAGAGCGCACCCCUGAUAAGGGUGAGGUCCCUGGUUCGAGUCCAGGAUGGCCCACCUGUGCAGGUGGCAAAAAGAAAGAAAAGAAGCGAGGAAUCAGCACCUUAUCUUAUUUAUAUAGUAAGAGAGAAUGCUGGCUCUGAGUAAAGAGUCCAGAGGAACCUUGAAAACUGCAUAGAGCUAGGUGAAAAAGCCAAAAAAGAAGACCGCAAG
rnacentral:tRNA from 1 species